AUGAAACUGACAUUUCAUACUAUUAUCCAGCAGGAAUUUUGCACUAGAGCUUCCAGGAUCCAGUGGCGCACAGCCGCGAUCACUAAGUGGUUGGGUUCUGUCCUGGGCCAGUGUACCUCCCCUGACCUCUCGGUGUGGUCCUCUCACAUCACAGGCAGAGGGGGCAGGAGUGUUCCAGCAACUCCCCUGGCACCACCAGCAGGUUCGCACAGGGAAGCGGGGCACAGAGUACCAGCCCAAGAAUAUAAAGCGGAAGCGGACCCACGGCUGGAUCAAGAGGAUCAGCACGCAGGGUGGCAUCGAGGUGAUUCUCCGUAGGAUGCUAAAAGGACGGAAAUCCCUCUCACACUAACCACCCAAUGGACUAUUUUGUCAGUAAACGUAUCGAAGUUGUGGUGCAAAGUUGCCCAGGUUUUACUACCAUGUGGAAGAUGCCCCAAAAAAUAGGCACGAAACAUGGCAAAGCCUUCCAAUUAUGUAAGCAACACCAUGCACAUUUACAAUAAAACAUUCCAAACAGUCCCUUUACAAGUAAGAAUGUUGAAUAAACUUAAUUGAACUUACUCUGUUGAUUGUCUGUUGUGUUGUUAGAAAUUUUAGACAAAAUAUCCACAGGAAAGUCUUAUUAACCUGACUUCGAAACGUCAGUCUCUGUGUGUAGCAAUCAAGAUUUGUUUGCUCAUGACCAAAGGCACAUGCACAAGAUGGAAGUACAUGCACGUGAUGCAUGCAUGUAACCAACGUCUGCAGGUGUUGACAUGGUUUUUCGCAUAUUCCAGGAGAUAUAAAUUUCAACGGCAGUACCUGCGCUCUAAAAAGUGGGGUAAACAACACUUUCCUAUGUAUAUUUUGUCAAAAAUGUUGAGUGGCUGAAGCACCAACCACACAGACAACCAGUAGAGUAAAUUCAGAUGUCAUUUUAUUCAACAUUCUGGCUUGUAAAGAAAACGUGAUGAUUUCACAUAAAAGUCUGAUUUAUUAGGCAAUCUAAGAACCUGCAGACUUGUUGGUACAGUUUUGUGUAGAGCUUGAUGUCUGAGUUAUUGGAUAUGUGAAGGCAGCAGUGGCGGUCAGUGCUAUUUAAGAUGAGGGAGGAAGCAAAUAAUUUAUGAGCGUGGCCUUAUUUCUAUUACUCCAUGUUGAAUGACUCAUUCAUAUUCCAUUCACCCAGUUCAGUGUAACAGCGAUAGCUUUAGGCUAAACAUCAUGAGGUUGCACAAUCUAGCCUAUGAAUGAAAGUUUACAAUGUAGGUGCACACAGAUCGAGAGAAAAAUUUGACGUGACAGUGACACACCUUGCACACUCUUGCCUGCAUCUAGCUGAUAUAGGGUGUAGUCAUUAGUCCAACAGUUGCAAACGAGUUUCUAAUGAACAAAUUCAGUUAUGUUUAUCCCCUUUCCGCUUUUCAACAGAAUCGGCGGAAUAAAUACACAACCUGAUCAAGCGUAAACACAGUUCACUUUCAUAGCAGCCACGUUGUAUUCCUUCUCUCAUCUAUACACUCUCCUCUCACCUUUUCCCUUCACAUCAGCUGAAAAAAACCUUUCCAAGCCAAACCAUAUAACCACUACACACAGCCUACAUCUUUGUCACCAUAUUAGCUAAAGUAACGUCAUAGUCAAAAUAGCUAAUAGAACUAACACGUUAGUAAACCUGCUACAAUCAUUCAGUAACGUUACAGUGUAACGGGAAAAGUGUGACGGGAAAAGGUAAGCAGUCUAGCACUUACACUGGUGGGCCAUGGUGGCAAUAAAUUAGUCAAACCAAAAGCUUACCAUGACUUGGAAGAGUUGUGUUGGAUAGUCAUAGCCAGCUAGCUAACGUAGCAUCCCACUGUUUGAGUAGGCUAAACUAGCUAGCAGCAUUUUCUAGCUAAGUAAGUGAAAUUGAAAGUGAGAAAAAAAAUUGACAAUCUCUCUUGCUUCUUCAUUUUGGAAGAAAUACAUUGUUCAAAACAGUUUUAACUAUUGUCUUUCUCUGUCUUUGAGUCAACUACUCACCAUGUUAUGCACUGCAGUGCUAGCUAGCUGUAGCCUAUGAUUUCAGUGCUAGAUGUAUUCCCUGAUCCUUUGAUUGGGUGAACAACAUGUCAGUUCAUGCUGCAAGAGCUCUGAUAGGUUGGAGGAUGUCCUCCGGAGGUUGUCAUAAUUACUGUGUAAGUCUAUGGAAAGGGGUGAGAACCAUGAGCCUCGUAGGUUUUGUAUUGAAGUCAGUGUACCCAGAGGAAGAUGGAAGCUAGCUGUCCUCCGGCUAGACCGUGGUGCUAUCCUACAGAUUGUUGUUGAGGCUACUGUAGACCUUCAUUGCGAAACAGUAUGUUUUAAUAAAUUAUUUGGUGAUGUGAAAAUAUUUAGUAUUUUAUCUAAAAAGCAUAACUUUUUAUAUGUUUUACAGUUUUUAUUUUAAUGAAAUUCACUGAGGAGGAUGGUCCUCCCUUCAUCCUAUGAGUAGCCUCUACUGGAAGGAAGAUGAAUUUGCAGAUGUAUUUGACCAUGAAAUGGAUUCUCAAUGUCUUUCUCAUCUAUUUCAGACUCAAUCUUGGAAAGGCUCGGUAGGUUGGUGCAGUAAGUCAAUUUAGCUUAAAUGGCAUAGGGAAUCAACUGUGACAAAAGUAGUUUUACGUAUGCACCUGUCAACAUGCAGUGGUGCGGUUGAACUAGUUCCUGAAUUUGAAUAUUGGACUUUUAAUAUGUAAGUGGUGGGAUAUAAGCAUCUGUGCUGCUUGUGUAAGCUAUUUAGUUGCUGCGAAAAUAAACACAUCUUCGGACCUUCAUACCAUGCUGAUACACAGUUGUCAUUCAAGUUUGUGUGUUGCUCAAAAAAAAGCACUGUGUUUCAGGGGGGGAAUAACCAUUUUUAUUAGCAUGAGUGAGUGUUGUUGGUUGAAAUCAGUAGGGUUGGAGAUGAUGGAAGAUCAGAAAACCAUGGUUAACAUAUUUUAUAUCUCAAUGUCUGUGUUAAUAUCUCCUUGUGAAAAUAAUUUCACAAACUUUGAUACUGAAUAACAAGGAAUUUGUGUGCCAUGGCUAGCUACUGCUUAUCACUGCCUCUCCGCCAUCAAAUCACGUGACGGGAUCUGGAGCCCCUCUUCCUAUUGGCGUGCUGGUUUCUCGUGUAAAAACUAGUGACCCAGUGAGCAUUGUUCUUUUACGACGGUCUAUCCUCUCCUGUAGCCAAUGGAGCACCAGUCAAGAAGAAGAGGAACGCCCAUACACGGACGAGCAACAAAUAUGGAGCAGAGUUUUUAAAAGGACUACCUGUCUACAACAAAAGCAAUUUCAGCAGAUUUCAUGCAGACUCUGUCUGCAAAGCGUCAAACCGGAGGCCCUCUGUGUAUCUCCCAACACGGGAGUAUCCAUCAGAACAGAUCAUUGUCACAGAGAAGACAAAUAUCCUAUUGAGAUAUCUUCACCAACAGUGGGACAAAAAGAAUGCGGCCAAAAAGCGGGAGCAGGAGCAAGCGGAGGGAGAGAACACUGCACCCCCGCGGAAAAUUGCCAGAACCGACAGUCGGGAAUUAAAUGAGGACUCAUAGAGUGCUGUACACACACAGAACUACAGAUAAAGAAGCACACAGGCAAAGUUGCAUUUGACAGACAGGACAUACCACUUCCUACAUCGUACAACAUGAUCUUGGGAUGUUGACAGUUUUGUCUUUUGUAUUUUAUUUACUUUAGCAUUUUUUUCUUUUUCCUUAACUGUCCUUUUUUAAGUCUUCGAUUGGCACAUAGCUGAAAAGCUCUGUCUUCAUAACAAUAACAUUACCUCCUCCACCCUAGGACUCAUAUUUAAUUGUUGCUUGACCAUGUUUUUACAUGAGGAGCAUUUUCAGUGCCCUUGUUUGCUUUCAUUAGUUUACUUGUACUAUAUGUGUAUUUUGACCUGCAUGAUUUACAGUCAUGUCCAUUUAAUCAAUUAGGUUCUAUACCAUUUUAUGUACAUCCUUCUGGGCUUGGAGUAAAUAGAAUAUUGUCUCCACAGUAAAUAGAAUAUUGUCUCCACAGCCUCUUAUUUUAGUUUGUGAUAAAUAUGAUGACGGCGGUAUACCAUAACACUGAAGGAUGCUUGUGACAUCCCCAACAAUUAUUACAGUUACUGAAAAGGGAAGACUGUGUAUAGACUUAAGAUUGAAUUCGUCUCAGGUUGUUAUGGGGAAUGCUGCCUCAGAAGGCUGCAUUCCUGAAAGUUUUGACUUCUCCUAGUUUGAGUGAUUGAAUUGCCUUAAUGGAAACAUUUCUUGAUCAAUUAGGGACCCUCCCUCUGUUUACAUUGUGACAACAGUGGAGGAAAUGCACACACACUGUUGAGUUAACGAGGGGAUUAAAUGGUGUGAAUAUGGAGGAUGCUCCCACAGGUUCAUAUUGGGGCAAACCCUUUGACAGUAUAAAAACAGACCAAUUUUGCAGCAACACACGAUGCUCGAUGUUUGUCAAUGUGCAUAAACGUUGUUUCCCCGUAGACGUGCUACAAUCUACCACUAGCAGCUAGAUUGUCGUCACAUCUAGAAAAGUUAUCUUGAUGCAGAUAAGUGUCUGGAUAGUAUAGGGAAGUGGACUUACCUGACUGUUAACAUGGCAUGGCUCCACAAGUAAAAGCAUAGCUGCUGAGUUGCAACUUAGCUCAAUCAAUCUGUGUGAACCUAUAGGAUACGCCUUGCUAAAAGGACUUAAGUCAAUAUGUGAGGUAAAUGUGCCAUUCAGGUGUAUAGAAUCUUGUCUCAAAAGUAACCAGCUGAUGUUAAACUUUUAAUGUGGGGCAUAGUUUGACAAAUGUAAAUACUAAAAUGGGGCGUAUUGUUCCUGAUAUGCUCUCUAUAUCCCUCUGUUGCUAUUUACAAUGAUCUGGUAGUGUAGUUGUGAAUCCUGUCAAACUAUGGGCUGUGUAUACAUGGUUUGUUUCCUUAGACCAUUAUCAGGUAAUAGUUUAAGGACUCGCAGUGUCCAGAACCUUUCGAUCAUUAGAUAAUCAUAUCUUACCUGAAACAGUCACACUUAAUUCUUGUUUGAAAGCAUGUACAGUAUAAACUCUGCAGGCCAUAUGUUUUAGGUGGCGUCGGCUCAUCUUGUUUGAGGUGAUCUUGAGGCUGGCUGAUGAUCAGCUACCAUUAUGUUCCUUGGUGAUGCUAGCUGUCUACAUGUGUUCAUGUUGAGAAUUCUUUCCACAGGUAGAAAAGUGUUGUUUUUUAUUUAUUUAUUUUUUGAUAAAGUAAGUUAACCUUAAUAGACAUUGUGCUCUGAUUUAAACUGUGUGGAUGUGGGGCCUGGCACAUUCACACAGUUAAAAUCACAGCACACAAUGUCUAUUAAGGUCAUCACGCUGUUUACUAUUGAGAAUUGAACGAAGGAGUGCUUCAUCUUACUGUAUAAAAAAAACUAACACAUUCAACAUUAACACGUAGACAGCUCGCACCACCAAGGAACAGAAUGGUAGCUGAUCGUCAGCUAGACUGAAUUCAUAAGGAAAUGACCCUCUGAAAAUAUGUUCUCAAUAAAGUUACCUGGGUAUUA